CCUACGGGAGGCAGCAGUGGGGAAUAUUGGACAAUGGGCGCAAGCCUGAUCCAGCCAUGCCGCGUGAGUGAUGAAGGCCUUAGGGUUGUAAAGCUCUUUUAUCCGGGACGAUAAUGACGGUACCGGAGGAAUAAGCCCCGGCUAACUCCGUGCCAGCAGCCGCGGU
rnacentral:rRNA from 1 species